UAUGUUUGCAUUUUGAUUAUGACUAGAACUUAAUGAAUACUUGAUGCAUUACAUAUUGAUUAUAAUUGUCUCAAAUCCAUGCUUUGUAGGAGUUGACAAGUAGUGCUGGAGAGGAUGUUAUGUUUGCAAUGAAUACGUUCAUUAAGCGUCUUUUUAGCUGUCUCGGAUCCUAACCAAACGAAGACAAAUGUAACCAAGACGAGUGCACCAGAGCAUGCCAAGCUUCUUUAUUGGCUCAUGGUGGUUGGAUUCAACAUUCGGAACAUUGAAGUCCGAUUUGAUAAGGAAAGAGUACUCGGCACUCCUCCAAAGCUCGCCGAGUUGCCUUCAGGAGAAGAUAUUUAGAUGCUGGUAACAAUAUCGGGCGCUCGACAGAAAACAUAUUGGCAGUGGAGACAGUAAUAGAGUUUUGCUGCUUGACGAUGCUCGCCAUUCAAAAAAAUUAGCUAUUCCUUGGCGGAGUUACGGAAAGGUUGAAGCAGAGAAGAAAUAUAACAUCAAACCACCUAUUUUGCCUAAUGAUAGUGUUCGCUUCAUUUUCUCGUUCGAUGAUUGUAUUUUAUUACGAACUUAUUCAUUUUUUGGAGGUACAUUGAGUAGGUGAGAUGAUUUUCAUGGCCUUGUUUCUUUUAUCAUCAU